UAGCCAGUGCGUGUAUUUGCUAAGCUUU
rnacentral:piRNA from 1 species